ACAAAGAAGGCAUGACAGAACAACAUUAGAUUAUUUGUAACUAUUUGAUGGCGGCUGUGGUUGCAUGAUCUUCCCAGGUUUCAGUUUCUCAUGACAAUCUAUUGCUUUCAUUAUUUUGCUAUAAUUUUUUUAGCUUAAGAAGGAUCUUUCAGUGCAUGGUUGUGAUGAAGAGAUUGAUGAUCAAUUAGAGGUGGGAAGCGGUGAUGAUUUUAGUGACGACGGUGAUAUUUUCAGAGUCAGAUGUAAGUUCUGUACGAUAUUUUCAUUAUUUGGUUCACUCUUUUAAUGACUGCGAGCUCAUGUUUUCAAUUAUCCCUGUCAGCAUCCUGGAAUGCCUUUUAUCCAUCCCAAACAUAUUCACCAGCCCUUUGCAUAGGUAUAGGAAUUUACAUAAAACUUUCAAGUAUGAGUAAGGUGGAAUUUUCCAUGAUGUGCUUUCUAAUUCUUAUACACUUCCACAUUUUCUGUGACUUUUUUCCAAUUUUCUUUUCGUCCCGGUUACCGCCAAUUUCACAUUUAGAAUGAUGCAAUUUCUCAAUUGUUACCAAAUCAUACUCAACAAUACACCACUUCACACGAGGGUAUCACCGAUGGAAAUACACCAACUGUGACAUGGGCAGAUCCAAAGACCUCGCCAUGACUGUUCUUUCCUUCUUGGUUUUAUGUGUUGCUCUUAAAUUGAUUUUAUUUUUCUUAAUCUGGUUCAAGUUAUAAAUGUUCAAGUUAUUGGAACAAGUUGUUAAGAGACUUAUGAGAAAUUUAUUGUAGGUGGUGGCAUGUUCAACAAUGAAAAUGAUUUAUUGUAGGUGGUGGCAUGUUCAACAAUGAAAAUGAUUCUUUUCCAGACAAAAUUUGUAGAUGGUGUUUCAAUGGUUUAGCAAACUGUUACAAAGUAGAACAAGUGAUAUACUGUUCUUUACAGUCAACUGCAAUUAUGGGGAUUUUAUGAAGCUUGUCAAAUCUGACAAUGACAAAGAUUUAUGGUUGUAAUUGUUAUUUACAUUUUUAUGCCUCAAAUUAAUCAACAAGAUUAGGUAAAGUCGAAGAAGAAAUGCUAAGAUUAAUUUAUGGUUCUGUAUUUAAUGAAAAUAUUGUUUUUGUGAACAAGGGGUGGAAGUAGAGGCAGAUGACAUUUUUAAUAUCAGUACUUAUUUUUUUGUAAUUUUUGUUGACUAUUACGCAGGCCUUCAUUCGGUAUUGCAUUCGACAUCGACGUUAUCUUUGAUCUCUAACUUCAUCCUUCACCUGAGGUUGAUUCUACUGAGCACGUUAAAAAAUGUAGCAUCACAUUUCCUACUGUAUUUUUGUUCUGCUAUCAUGUGCUAGGUUUCAAGAAAUCCCUAAUAUAUAAUAUUAAUGUUUUUGAUUAUGAGGCGUGAUUCAAUGUUGUGAUUUGUUGAAAUUGUUUCUAUUUUGAUUUUAAUUUUAAUUUAUAUUGAUGAUUUUUGUUGAUAUAGAGAAUGUACUGAUGAACUACAAGAAGCAUCAUUGGGAAUACUGUUUGCUUCUUAUAGUUCAAGAGAUUCGAGAGAUUCGUGCAAUUCUUACUUCUAGAUUUGGAAAAGAAUUCAAGUGAUUGAAAUUUCGUAAAAUAAACUCUCAGCAUUAUGUUGUUCUUCGUGAUGAAUGAGCUUUGUUUUGCGUAUUGAUAUGUUGUAUCGGUGACUUGACUCUCUGUAUAGGUUGUUUCAACAUAGGUUAUUUUUCUUUGUGUUCUGCUAGGAAAACAACUCUGGCAAAUAUACCUUAUGGUUAUGCAAAAUGAGGGAUAAGUGCACCUGAUAUUGGAACAGGAUCAUAGGUUAGUAAUGCAGACUUAGAAAGUUCGGAAACUUUUAUGUUGUGAUAAAACUUUAAUUUGAACUUUUGGAAAUCAAAUUAUCUUAAUGUAUGGUACGUAUGCAGACCAUGGCGUGUAUACAAGAUGAAUAUUCUAGAUUUCGCAUAUACUCGCUGGUUGUGACAGGAAAACCUAGAGUAAGUAGUUGUUUGUUCGUGACUCUAGCUUCAUUCCCAUGGUAAAUAUGGUGAGCUUAAAGAAAACCAUGCUUAAAGACUGUGAUGUUUUAAUCCCAACAGCUCUCGGGAGUGUCAUCAAUAGAUGGUACUUUGCCUUUUUAUUUACAAACAAAUAAAGAAGCUAUUUUGAUAUUCACUUUUCUAUUCUUUUGGUAUUGAUGAAGGGAAAAUGCAAAUGAUCUAAAGGCAACAAUUUAGUAGAACCAUCCAAUCACCCAACUGAUCCAGGGACUGAUGAGAGGAAUAUUGGAUUAGGGAAACCAAAAUCCGUUCAUGAUGAUUAUUCACAAGGUGAGGUCAAUUUACACAUAAUUUAUUUUAAAAAGUCCUUAAUGUCGUGCUGUUGGUUUACUGUUUUCCCGAUUACCAAUCGAAAGAGAAAUACAAGGCUUGUAGUCUCAAGAAAAGAAAUUGAUUGUAGAGAUUAAGAAUUAUGGUCAACAUGCAUCUUUUGAAUACACCUGCAUCAACAUGAACAAAACCACUCCCACAUGAACCUUAUCCUGUAGCAAAUUAACAACUGUGAUUCUGCUAUGCUAAUGACUCUGCAAUGCUAAUGACUUCACAAUGAUAUACGACAGUGAUUCAUGACAUAUAAUUACUUCUUUGAUUGUAAUCACUUCUAUUAUGACAUGAGAAAGACUUUCAAUGUUUUUCAAUUGUUGUGUAUGUGACUUAUAUACCAAACUUUGAUCAAUUAUGGUUUAAAAUUUAUAAGUUCUAUAUUGUGUCUUUUUGAACAUUAUUUAAAUAUACAUAUACAAUUUGUUUUCAUUCCUAAAGUUAGAUAUUAGAUUAUAACAAAGUGUAAUUAUAGGAUUCCUUAUUGCAUGUCUUAAAACAUAAAUAACUAAAGAGAAUUACACUAUAACUCAAGUUAUUUUCUUUUGAAACAGUGUCUCUAUUAAUUAGUAAUGGUUUUGCUUUAUAGAAACUUUGUUGCGCAUGUGUACUCACUUUUAUUAUUUCAUCUCAGUUAAACUAAUUUCAAAUUUAAGGGUGAUUACCAUAUGAUAUACAAUAAAGAAUUAAUAAUCUCCACGCUUAAGUUCAAAAAGCACUGUAACUUUCAUGGGCUUAAAAAUCAGCAUUUCAAGGGCUAAGUAACAUGAAGUAGAGAUGAUAUGCUUGACACUAACAAAUGAACUCAUACAAUCAUUGGUUAUUUAUAAUCUUAAAAUGUAAAAAGUAGAUAAAAAAGAGCAUGUGUUAGAUAUAAAUAAGAACUUAUAAACCUGUGAUGAAAUAUAAGUCAAUA